CAGUGGCUGUGCUGACGCUGAGGCGCCACGUGGGGCCAGUAGCUGUUUGCGCUGUUGUGGUUCAGGCAGACCUGUUUUGUGUGGAUGUUUUGUUUGUACCAGCAUCUUGUCGCACAACUGAAGGUCUUUGGCGAAUAAUUUCCACCUGUUCUCUCCAUCAAACUAUGUUAGUUGGAUUUAAUGGGAACAUCUGUUUGCUGCUGUUUCCUGUCAGGGUGGAUUCAACACCACAGUCCCCUCUGAGCGCUGCUGCUCCUCACUGUCUCACUCUAAUACGUAUGCAUGAGAGUGUGUGACCUGCAUGUAUCCACAGACCUACACAUGCCCUUUAGGUGUUAAUGUUAUCCAGUUUGUUCAGGAAAUCACUAAUGGAGAUUGAUGGCACAAAGAGAAUCAAUGAGCUUCAACCCUGAGAGUGUUUGAGGAAGUCGGUUGUUUCAGUUCACGCUGCAGCUCUAUUCUUAGUGAGGUGCGUAACAUGACUGAACGGUCGUCUUAAGUCUGGUCUUCACGAAAUUUCCCCACGAAAAGGUUUUCUUAUUCUUAUCAAAGUCUUCAUGUGUUCAUUAAGUCAGCCUGGAUCUAAAGGUUCAGUCUGUGCCUCCACGGUUUCCAUCAAAGGCUCCUACAGUGUUUGCACAAGGCGUCCUGUGUGUUGAGUAAGAAGGAAGUGCAGCAUGUACGCACUAAGUUCACAGCCUGCUGGGAUCUGUGCUGCCCCUGAAUGUGGAGGAGAAAACAGGCCCAUCUGCUUCCUGUGUUGUGGGGUUAGUGACUGUUUGGUUUCUGAUUGAAGCCCUAGUUAUGGGAUGAUGUGAUCUGAUUUUAAUUCAAGCUGUUUUGACUUACAGUUUGUAGCCUCUAAUGUAACGUUGGGGGAGGCAACAUCAUGACUUAUCUCCAGGAUAUAAAGGCAGACCAGUGAGCUCCGCAGACAUCAGGAACGGCUGAUACUCUGAGAUCCGCUUCCACGUAGAUCGAUGUCACACGUGUGCCAGCUUUACAUGUGCGAGCGCUGCACGCAGCUGAUAAACAACUUCUUCCUCAUUCUCAGAAAAGGAAGUGGGAGGGUGGGGGUGCCGAGAGCCGCCCACAUGCUGACCCCAUAUGCACCGGAGCCAUGCACAGCUCACUUAUGUCAUCUUUGGUGAGGCCUUUCCUUAAGCAUGUGCUUGAUGUGAUGCAAAUAUCAACGAACUGCAGACACAAAGACCGACAGGGAGUGUAAAGCCGUACACGUGGGCGAUCGAGCGUCUCAUGUGUCGGCUCAUGCCACUGCUGAGCAUCAGUGCUGUUUCUAAUGUGGCACUCGUCAGGUUCUCCUUAGGUCUGCUCCAAUCUGCUGCAGCCACGUCAAAAAGCCCAGGCUCUGCUUGAAGUUGAAACGAGUCUGGCUCAGGUUGUUUGUAUUUGCUGAUGACUGUUUCAGGGCUGGAAGAUUCAUGUCUGUUGAGACUGCGGUUCCCUGGAUAGAAGCAUAAGGAGUCCACAGCCUGGAAGCCUGGUUCCCUGUCCACACAGCAGGCUGAGCUGGGCUGCAAACAUGCAGCUGUGUUUCCUAUGGACUUCCUCCGUCAGCCGGUGCCUGCGCUCUUGUGCUGUUUCAGACGGCCUCCUCCGCUGUGAGUCAUCCUGACGUGCACGGCUUCACGCCUCGGCCGUGCACAUGGCUCCCGAACGACACACUCCCUGCCUUCACGUGCUCCCUCGCUCCUUUUAGCCUUUGCCUUUUUGGUUUUGGAACCCGCCCAUUUCCUCAGUGCUGCCUGUUGCUUUGCAGACAAUGGCAGCCAUUCUUACUCUGGUUUGUCGGUAACCCACUUUUGGAAAACGACCUGUGAACAAGCGAGGGAGCAGCGUUUUGCUGCUUUCACAUUCCACAUGACUCACCUGCCCCGAGUCUGUCCUGUUUGUACGUAUACGUCUCUUGCCUCGAUGCAAACAUGUCUCGACUGCUCAUGCUAUAAAUAAAGUGCAGGCGUUGCAUAAGAGCCACAGGUCUCUGUGGGUUACAUGUGGCAGAUCAGAGGCACGAUCAGCAGCUCGUCUUCUGCAGUAACGAGUCAGAUUCAGUUUGGUGGUGGCCGCAGCUGAAGGUCACACAACACAACAGGGCUGUGUGUGUGUGUGUGUGUUAAACUGUCAACAAACUGUAAGUCCCAGCUGCUUUACGUAACCGGCCUCUGGUGAAGGUGUUACUGUAACACGUUGAGCUGUGGCUGCAUGUGAGCAGCCGCUCACAUGGGACCUGCCGCUCACCCUCCUCCCUCCAGGUGUUUGGAUUAGAGCAGGGAGGGGGGGCUGUAAACUGACUCCUCCGCUGUCACUGUGUACACUCACAGUCCAACUGUGCCUUUUUACUUCCUUCUCAGACCUCUGUGCCAGAACCUUGGUUGACCUGGACUCGGGACCGGGCUCCUGCCUGAAGGAGCAGCGGGUUCCACGGCGGCUCAGCCCGUGUCGGUGCUGGUUGCUGUGAUGUGACUUUGUGCUAAUGAACAGGCAGAAGUCUCUGUAUAAAGAGUUGAAUGGUUGGUUCUGAUGGAUAAUGUUGUCAUUGUGGUGUAAUGGAAACAUGUGGAAACCAAAACCAUCAACUGCCUCCUCUCUGAUUGUGUGUUGAAGCCUGUGAGCGAUAAUGCGUCAGAAACACGUUAGUGGAUCCACGGCUGCUCUUCAUUCCUUUUAGCUUUAAAGGAAACACAUAGUCUGGCAGAGUGAGGCGUUCAGGAGCCGAUGUCACACUUCCUGGCGUGACUUCAAAUAUGUGAGUCUCUUAACUAAGUAAUUAAUAAAUAAUUAAAUGAUAAGUAGAUGAUUCUAUUGUUAGUUGUUUUUUUUAUUUCGGUUCCUCUUCAUGUGCCACUCGUCACAUGCUUUCGUUUUUGUAGAAUCUUUCAUCUCUGUUUGAUUUGGUUCAGUAAAAGGAAACUAAUUGAAGAUGAGGCUUAAUGACACUGAGCAUCCUGUUGGCAGCUUGGACCAGUACUGUGACACCUCCUGCGUAUUUGUUUGUCAGAAGUCAUCACAUGGCUGAAGUGUUGUUUGUGUGGGUGCCGGCCCCUUCUCGCUUUACCAACAAACAGGAAGUGCUUCUUCUGCCCAUCAGCUGCGCUCAUUCUGUGAGAAGGUUUCAGGUGUAACCUUACAUGGCUGCGCCCACUGUCAGUUUAUUACAGUAGGUAGAACCAGCGCUGCUGGGAACAGAAGCCCGUGCUGCUCUGCUUCCAGCCACUGGACCCAGGACGACUGGAGACAGAUGGAUGGACCUGUUGACACUAAUCCUGCUGCAUGAGAAACCUGUCGGGUCAGAACGGAGAACAGGCUGGAAAGGAAAACAAAGCACGUGUCGGAGCGCGUCGCUCAGCUCAACAGUUCCUGUUCCUCUGUCUGUGAAGUCUUCAUCACAUACACAACCAGCAUCUUCUACUGGCUUUGUGUCACCUUCAUGCUCAGUCACUCACUGCGGCGUGCAGGACGAGUGUCAGACGAUCAGCGAUCAGCACAGAGCAUGAGGCUGGUACCAUCAGAAGGCCCGGCUCUGAUCCGGCUCCGGAUCCUGAGCCUGAGCCCACAUUCCUGUCAACCACCACCUUUGUCUCCAGCUCCUUAGAAGGCGUCGCUGUGUCACGGCCCAGAGUUAGCGCUGGGGAAGCCCACGGAUGCGGUUCCUCCAGAGUGGAGACACGUGACCAGCAGAAAGAGAGGACGGGGUCUCAGACACAGCCUUGUUGGGAGGAAGCUGGGAUUGGGCUCGGCCCCCACGGCCGCCUGCUCAUCCAGCCCUCAGCUGUUCCUGUGCCGCGGGUUCACUCCAGGCUGCGCUGGGUGGAAGGAAGAGGGAGGAGCUGCCCUACAUUCUGCCCUCUGCUUCUCUGCGCAGGCUGCAGCGCCAUGUGGAUUUCCACAAAGGGCUGAUUGACUCAGGCCUAUUUUUGGUUCAAAUUUCUGCAAGGCAUCAGGAAAGUGUAAGAUUACACCAGAUGUUAUCUGGGAGAAGUCUGAGCCUGUAACGCUGUCAACACAGUCAAGUCUGUAAUGCAGCAUUAGAAAGCUUCCACAUGGUAAAGGCCUCAACCUGUUUCCCAUUUUUAUUAUUAUUUAAUAAUAUUAUUAUGUGGUUGGUGGUGCUGUUGAUAAUAUUGUUCCAUAAGCACCAAACAGUCGCUGCCGGUUUUAAACCUAAACAACUGAGUGACCUGCUCCAAAGCCGUGUUGAUGUUUCAAACGCGUGAGUUGAUUUAAACGUGUACGUCUGAUGCAUAACAGGUUUUUCACACCCAGACAGAUCGGACCUCCACAACCUGAUCCGGGUCGCUGCAGGUCGUCCAGUAUUGUGUAACACCUGCAUCCCAGUGUGGAUGACUUAACAUGAGCCCCGCUGCCGCAGCGGCGUGUGUCUCGGGUCACGUGUUACAUGUUGGUGAGCGUGUUUACGCUCGCUAGCCUGCGUCUGGGCUCCUGUCUUCCCAGUAAAGCUUCAGUGUGUGUGGUGAAGCCUACAUAGCUAUCAGGUCAAUAUUUUCAGUAGAUAAGAUUAGAGCUGUGUGCUCCUUCCUGCUCCUAUGUUUCUAUCGUAGUGCAAAUACAAACACGUGAGUUGUAUCAGAACAAGGACACUGAGAAACUGAAUCCCUUGGAAUAAAAAUGAUUGGUCAUGUGUCA